GCCUGGCAUGGUGCCUGUGGUCCCAGCUACUUGGGAGCUGAAGUUGGAGGAUGACUUGAGUCCAGGAGUUCAAGGCCAGCCUGGGCAACAUAGUAGAACCCCGUCUCAA
rnacentral:sRNA from 1 species